UGUACCAUCUCAAGAAGUCAUUCUAUUAUUGAAUCUUUGUUUAAUUUCACCAGGUGUAUUCUGGGCAGUGAUGGAAGCAUCACUUAAGAAGAUGUCGACCAAACUCAAUACGUUGGUGAAGCUGCCAAGGGUGAUGGGUCCAUUGCUGAGAUGAAAACGGGGGAAGGAAAAACCUUGGUUUCCACAUUAGCAGCCUCUCUCAACGCCCUCACUGGUGAGGGUGUUCAUGGAUGAUAUGCCAAAGCCUGGUCAAGCCCCUCGUCCUGCUGGAGGAGCUCCUGUUCGCACCUGAUAAAAAGAAGUUGAUUUCCUCGGUCAUUCUGCUUUCAAACAGUUACCUGAAAUUUUCAGAACUUUUGAGGCCAUUUGUUUUUGUUUUUCUUGGUUUGGGAGAUUUUGAUUAUGAUGGAAGGUUUAACUUUUGCUGUUUAAUGCUUUUGAGUAUUAAUGUAGUAUCAGGAAAAUGAAAAUUGAGACA